rnacentral:lncRNA from 1 species
GAUUCAGUCCCUGGCUCAGGAAAUUCCAUAUGCUGUGGGUGUGGCCAUGAAAGGUAAAUUUAAAACAAAAAGAACUCCCAGUUGAAGUAAGUUGAAUCUCAAUAGUGAGAUUCUGAGCUUCAUGAAGGCAAGAAUUAUUUUAAUUUUUUUCUGAAUUAAUUUCUGCUCUAAGUAACUAGCAGGGAUAGUACUUUAAAAAAACAUUUAGAAUCAUAGAACUUGAGGGCUAAGAGGGACUUUAUAUACCCUCUGGUAUACAUAUAGAAAUAUAUUAGGAUCUACAAUAAGAAUCACAUUUGUAAUUCUGUUUUCACAUUUAAAAAAGCAAGAAAAAGAAAUUAAUUUUGAUAUAUAUUUCAUUCAAGCUAAUAUAACCAAAGCAUUAUCAUUUUAGCAUAUAGUCAAUAAGAGUUAUGUAUAAGUUAUUUAUCUUUAUUGUACUAAAUCUUCAAAAUCCAGCAUAUGUUCCAUACUCACAGUACACCUCAAUUUUGGCUGGCCACAAUUUCAAAAGUUCAAAAGUCACGUGUGGCUAGUAGACACCAUGGUGGGCAGUACAGAUCUAGAGUCUAACCCCUGGGCAGGCACCAGUCCCUCCUAUCAGGAAGCAAGAAACUACAAGCCUAUUGCCUGAAAAAUGGAGAUCACAGUAAACACCUACACAAAAUGAAAAGGCAGAGAAUUAUGACUCAGAUAAAGAAGCAAGGAAAAAAAAAAACAACUAAGUGAUCUGGAGAUUACCAACCUCCAUGAAAAAGACUUUAGACAAAUGAUAGUAAAGAUGAUUCAAGAUCUUGGAAAUAAACUGGAGGCAAAGAUUGAUAAAUUACAAGAAACACUGACCAAAGAAAUGGAACAUUUAAAGAUUAAUCAAGUAGAGAGACAAAAUACAAUAACUGAAAUAAAAAAAAUUCACUAGACAGAACCAACAGCAAAAUACAGGAGGCAGAAGAAUGAAAAAGAGAGGUGGAAGACAGACAGGCGGAAAUCACUAACAUGGAACAUAAAAAAGAAAAAAGAUUGAAAAGAAAUGAAGACAGUCUAGGAAAAGUCUGGGACAACUUUAAAUGUGCCAACUUCCAUAUUAUAAGGGAAACAGAAGAAGACAGACAGAAAGGGCCAGAGAAAUAUUUGCAGAGAUAAGAGCUAAAAACUUCCCUAAGAUGGGGAAAGAAUCACUCACUCAAAUCCAGGAAACUCAAUGAGUACCACAGAAAAUAAACCCCAGGAAGAACACUCUGAGACACAUAUUAAUCAAACUGACCAAAAUUAAAUACAAAGAGAAAAUAUUGAAAGCAGCUAGGGAAAAGAAAUAAAUAACACACAAGUGAACCCUGAUAAGGUUAGCAGCAGAUUUUUUUCAGCAGAAACUCUGCAGACAAGAAGGUAAUGGCAAGAUAUACUUAAAGUGAUGAAAGGAAAAAACCUCCAACCAAUAUUACUCUACCUAGAAAGGCUGUCAUUCAGAUUUGAAGGAGAAAUCAAAAGCUUUAUAGACAAGCAAAAGCUAAGAGAAUUCAGCACCACUAAAACCAGUGUUACAACAAAUACUAAAGGUACUUCUCUAGCUGGAAAAGAAAAGACCACAACAAAAAUACUGCAAAUGACAAGGCUCACCAGUAAAGGCAUACAUAUAGUAAAGGUAGGAAAUCAUCCAUACAUCAGUAUGCUACCAAAAUCAGAAAUCAUGAGAAGAGGAGUCUAUAAAUUCAGGAUACUGGAGAUGCAUUUGCAAUUAGGAGACCAACAACUUAAAACAAUCUUGUGUAUACAUAUAGACUAUUGUAUCAGAAAUCAUGACAACUGCAAACCAAAAAUCUACCAUAGAUACACAGACAAAUAAGAAAAAGCAAACACAGCACUAAAGAUAGUCAUCAAGCCACAAGAGAAGAGAACAAGAGAAGGGAAGAAAAAAGACCAGCAAAAACAAAUCCAAAACAAUUAAUAAAAUGGCAAUAAGAACUUGCAUAUCAACAAUUACCUUAAAGGUAAAUGGUCUAAAUGACCCAACCAAAUGACAUAGCCUAGGUGAAUGGUUACAAAAACAAGACCCAUAUAUAUGCUGUCUUCAAGAGACCCACUUCAGUUCUAGGAACAUAUACAAACUGAAAGUGAAAGCAUGGAAGAAAAUAUGCCAUGCAAAUGGAAAUCAAAAUAAAUCUGUAGCAGCAAUACUUAUCAGACAAAAUAGAUCUUAAAGAAUAUUAUAAGGAACCAUGAAGGACAUUAUAUAAUGAUCAAAGGAUCAAUCCAAGAAGAUGUAACAAUUAUAAAUAUACAUGCAUCCAACAUAGGAUCACCUCAGUAUAUAAGGCAACUGCUAAUGACUUUAAUAGGAGAAACUGACAAAACAGAAUACCAGCAGGGGAGUUUAACACCCCUCUUACAGCAAUGGACAGAUCAUCCAGACAGAAAAUCAACCAGGAAACACAUGCCUUGAAUGAUGCAUUAGACUAGAUGGACUUAAUAGAUUUUUAUAGAAUAUUCCAUCUAAAAGCAGCAGAAUAUCCAUUCUUCUCAAUUGCACAUGGAACAUUCUCUAGGAUAAAGCACAUCCUGGGCCCCAAAUCAAGCCUCAGUAAAUUUAAGAAAACUUAAAUCAUAUCAAGCAUCUUUUCUGACCACAACACUCUAAGACCAGAAAUCAACGAUAAGAAAAAAAACCUGCAAAAACGUUAAACACAUGGAGACUAAACAGCAUGCUACUAAGCAACCAACGGAUCAUUGAAAAAAUUAAAGGGAAAAUUUAAAAAUACCUAGAAACAAAUUACAACAAAGACACAACAAUCCAAAACAGCAGCAAAAGCAGUUAGAAGAGGGAAGAUAAUAGCAAUACAGGCCUACCUCAGGAAACAAGAAAAAUCUCAAAUAAACAAUCUAACUUUACACCUAAAGCAACUAGAGAAAGAAGAAUAGAUAAGACCUAAAGUUAGCAGAAGGAAAAAAAUUAUACAGAUCAGAGCAGAAAUAAAUGAAAUAGAAACAAAUAAAACCGUAGAGAAGAUCAAUGAAACUAAAAUCUGGUUCUUUGAAAAAUCAAUAAAAUUGAUAAAACCUUAGCCAGACUUAUCAAGAAAAAAAUAGAGGACUCAAAUCAAUAAAAUUAGAAAUAAAAAGGAGAAGUUACAAUGGACAUCACAGAAAUACAAAGGAUCAUAAGAGACUAAUACAUGCAACUACAUGCCAAUAAAAUGGAAAACC